CCCAGACUCCUACGGGAGGCAGCAGUGGGGAAUAUUGCACAAUGGGGGAAACCCUGAUGCAGCGACGCCGCGUGAGUGAAGAAGUAAUUCGUUAUGUAAAGCUCUAUCAGCAGGGAAGAAAAUGACGGUACCUGAGUAAGAAGCCCCGGCUAACUACGUGCCAGCAGCCGCGGUAAUACGUAGGGGGCGAGCGUUAUCCGGAUUUACUGGGUGUAAAGGGAGCGUAGACGGUUCUGCAAGUCUGAAGUGAAAGCCCGUGGCUUAACCGCGGAACGGCUUUGGAAACUGUGGAACUGGAGUGCUGGAGAGGCAAGCGGAAUUCCUAGUGUAGCGGUGAAAUGCGUAGAUAUUAGGAGGAACACCAGUGGCGAAGGCGGCCUACUGGACGGUGACUGACGCUGAGGCUCGAAAGCGUGGGGAGCAAACAGGAUUAGAUACCCCCGUA
rnacentral:rRNA from 1 species